GUAGGUGAACCUGCGGAAGGAGCACUGCUCUUGCAGCCCGUCUUCCUCCAGCAAUCCCUAGUAAAUCAUGGCAAACAGUUUGAUUUAGGGACUUCUGAGUCACGAGAAAUUAUAGUUGCAAUUGUAGCGGUAGUGCAAGCGCCUUAGCUUUUCCUAGGCCUUUGAUGAAUUGGAAAGUGUCAUCAGAGAUACCGAAGAAAAGGCCCCACGGCUUCACUGGAGGACAUUACGUCCGGUGACUAGGUGCUCG
rnacentral:misc_RNA from 1 species